rnacentral:ncRNA from 1 species
GUAGCAAAAGCCAAACCCAUCGCGAGGUGGGGGCGGAAAGCCACGGGUCUCUAUUUGGGAGAGAUAGCCGGGUUGCCGAAA